UAACCUGCCUGGUAGCGGGGGAUAACUAUUGGAGACGAUAGCUAAUACCGCAUAACAGUAGAUGUUGCAUGACAUUUGCUUAAAAGGUGCAAUUGCAUCACUACCAGAUGGACCUGCGUUGUAUUAGCUAGUUGGUGGGGUAACGGCUCACCAAGGCGACGAUACAUAGCCGACCUGAGAGGGUGAUCGGCCACACUGGGACUGAGACACGGCCCAG
rnacentral:rRNA from 1 species